rnacentral:sRNA from 1 species
GCUGGGCAUGGUGGCGCAUGCCUGUAAUGCUAGCAGCUUGGGAGGCUGAGGCCGGAGAAUCACGAGUUCAAAGCCAGCAUCAGCAAAAAUGAGGCACUAAGCAACUCAGUGAGACCCUGUCUCUA